AUUGAACGCUGGCGGCAGGCCUAACACAUGCAAGUCGAACGGUAACAGGGAUCAGCUUGCUGAUUCGCUGACGAGUGGCUGACGGGUGAGUAAUGUCUGGGAAGCUGCCUGAUGGAGGGGGAUAACUACUGGAAACGGUAGCUAAUACCGCAUAACGUCGCAAGACCAAAGAGGGGGACCUUCUGGCCUCGUGCGAUCGGAUGUGCCCAGAUGGGAUUAGCUAGUAGGUGGUGUAACGGCUCACCUAGGCGACGAUCCCUAGCUGGUCUGAGAGGAUGACCAGCCACACUGGAACUGAGACACGGUCCAGACUCCUACGGGAGGCAGCAGUGGGGAAUAUUGCACAAUGGGCGCAAGCCUGAUGCAGCCAUGCCGCGUGUAUGAAGAAGGCCUUCGGGUUGUAAAGUACUUUCAGCGGGGAGGAAGGGAGUAAAGUUAAUACCUUUGCUCAUUGACGUUACCCGCAGAAGAAGCACCGGCUAACUCCGUG
rnacentral:rRNA from 1 species